GCCUUCGUGGUGUAACGGUAGCACACUGGACCCGUAUUCGAGAGGUCCAGGUUCGGGUCCCGGCGAAGGCA
rfam:Stegodyphus mimosarum contig42002, whole genome shotgun sequence.